rnacentral:rRNA from 1 species
CAGCCGCCGCGGGAAUACGUAGGUGGCAAGCGUUAUCCGGAAUUAUUGGGCGUAAAGCGCGCGUAGGCGGUUUUUUAAGUCUGAUGUGAAAGCCCACGGCUCAACCGUGGAGGGUCAUUGGAAACUGGAAAACUUGAGUGCAGAAGAGGAAAGUGGAAUUCCAUGUGUAGCGGUGAAAUGCGCAGAGAUAUGGAGGAACACCAGUGGCGAAGGCGACUUUCUGGUCUGUAACUGACGCUGAUGUGCGAAAGCGUGGGGAUCAAACAGGAUUAGAUACCCCCGUAGUCCCUGUCUCUUAUAU